UACAGAGGUCCCAAGCGUUGUUCGGAUUCACUGGGCGUAAAGGGUGCGUAGGUGGCUUGGUAAGUUUGAUGUGAAAUCUCCGGGCUUAACCCGGAAAUGGCAUUGAAUACUAUUGAGCUGGAGGUUUGGAGGGGGGACUGGAAUUUACGGUGUAGCGGUGAAAUGCGUAGAUAUCAGGAGGAACACCGGUGGCGAAGGCGGAUCUCUGGGCCUUACCUGACGCUCAGGCGCGAAAGCUAGGGGAGCGAACAGG
rnacentral:rRNA from 1 species